CUACGGGUUGCUGCAGUGGGGAAUUUUGCGCAAUGGGGGCAACCCUGACGCAGCAAUACCGCGUGAGUGAAGAAGGCCUUUGGGUCGUAAAGCUCUUUUCUAAGGGAAGAUAGUGACGGUACCUUGGGAAUAAGCACCGGCUAACUCCGUGCCAGCAGCCGCGGUAAUACGGAGGGUGCGAGCGUUGUUCGGAUUUACUGGGCGUAAAGGGCACGUAGGCGGCCUAGCAAGUUAAGGGUGAAAUCCCGGGGCUCAACUCCGGAACUGCUCUUAAAACUGCUAAGCUAGAGAUAGUCAGAGGCGGGUGGAAUUCCAGGUGUAGAGGUGAAAUUCGUAGAUAUCUGGAGGAACACCGGUGGCGAAGGCGGCCCGCUGGGGCUAUUCUGACGCUGAGGUGCGAAAGCGUGGGGAGCGAACGGGAUUAGAUACCCUGGUAGUC
rnacentral:rRNA from 1 species